rnacentral:rRNA from 1 species
ACGGCUCAGUAACACGUGGUCAACAUACCCAGAGGACGUGGAUAACCUCGGGAAACUGAGGAUAAACCGCGAUAGACCAUAAUGUCUGGAAUGAUUUAUGGUUCAAAUCUAUAUGGCCUCUGGAUUGGACUGCGGCCGAUCAGGCUGUUGGUGAGGUAAUGGCCCACCAAACCUGAAACCGGUACGGGCUCUGAGAGGAGAAGCCCGGAGAUGGGCACUGAGACAAGGGCCCAGGCCCUAUGGGGCGCAGCAGGCGCGAAACCUUUGCAAUAGGCGAAAGCCUGACAAGGUUACUCUGAGUGAUCUCCGCUAAGGAAAUCUUUUGACACCUCUAAAAAUGGUGUAGAAUAAGGGGUGGGCAAGCCUGGUGUCAGCCGCCGCGGUAAUACCAGCACCCCGAGUGGUCGGGACGAUUAUUGGGCCUAAAGCAUCCGUAGCCGGUUCUUUAAGUCCUCCGUUAAAUCCACCUGCUUAACAGAUGGGCUGCGGAGGAUACUAUAGAGCUAGGAGGCGGGAGAGGCAAGCGGUACUCAGUGGGUAGGGGUAAAAUCCUAUAAUCCCGGGAAGACCACCAGUGGCGAAGGCUGUCUGCUAGAACGCGCCCGACGGUGAGGGAUGAAAGCUGGGGGAGCGAACCGGAUUAGAUACCCGGGUAGUCCCAGCUGUAAACGAUGCAGGCUAGGUGUUUGGACGGCCACGUGCCGUUCUAGUGCCGCAGGGAAGCUGUUAAGCCUGCCGCCUGGGGAGUACGAUCGCAAGAUUGAAACUUAAAGGAAUUGGCGGGGGAG